rnacentral:rRNA from 1 species
UACAGAGGGUGCGAGCGUUAAUCGGAAUUACUGGGCGUAAAGCGCGCGUAGGCGGUUUUGUAAGUCGGGGUGUGAAAUCCCCAAGCUUAACUUGGGAACUGCAUUCGAGACUGCAUAGCUAGAGUAUGGGAGAGGGAAGUGGAAUUUCAGGUGUAGCGGUGAAAUGUGUAGAGAUCGGGAGGAACACCGGUGGCGAAGGCGGGUCUCUGGGCAUCUCCUGACGCUGAGGCGCGAAAGCGUGGGGAGCGAACAGG